rnacentral:rRNA from 1 species
ACGGAGGGUGCAAGCGUUAUCCGGAUUCACUGGGUUUAAAGGGUGCGUAGGUGGGUUAGUAAGUCAGUGGUGAAAUCUCCUCGCUUAACGAGGAAAUUGCCAUUGAUACUGCAGGGCUUGAGUACAGUUGCCGUUGGCGGAAUAUGACAUGUAGUGGUGAAAUACUUAGAUAUGUCAUAGAACACCGAUUGCGAAGGCAGCUGACGAAACUGUAACUGACACUGAGGCUCGAAAGUGUGGGGAUCAAACAGGA